rnacentral:rRNA from 1 species
UACGUAGGCAGCAAGCGUUGUUCGGAGUUACUGGGCGUAAAGGGUGUGUAGGCGGUUGUUUAAGUUUGGUGUGAAAUCUCCCGGCUCAACUGGGAGGGUGCGCCGAAUACUGAAUGACUAGAGUGCGGGAGAGGAAAGUGGAAUUCCUGGUGUAGCGGUGAAAUGCGUAGAUAUCAGGAGGAACACCGGUGGUGUAGACGGCUUUCUGGACCGUAACUGACGCUGAGGCACGAAAGCGUGGGUAGCAAACAGG